rnacentral:rRNA from 1 species
UGGAACCGCAUGACGCUGGCGGCAGGCCUACACAUGCAAGUCUCGAGCGGAUGAGCGGGAGCUUGCUCCUUGACUUCAGCGGCGGACGGGUGAGUAAUGCCUAGGAAUCUGCCUGGUAGUGGGGGACAACGUUUCGAAAGGAACGCUAAUACCGCAUACGUCCUACGGGAGAAAGCAGGGGACCUUCGGGCCUUGCGCUAUCAGAUGAGCCUAGGUCGGAUUAGCUAGUUGGUGGGGUAAUGGCUCACCAAGGCGACGAUCCGUAACUGGUCUGAGAGGAUGAUCAGUCACACUGGAACUGAGACACGGUCCAGACUCCUACGGGAGGCAGCAGUGGGGAAUAUUGGACAAUGGGCGAAAGCCUGAUCCAGCCAUGCCGCGUGUGUGAAGAAGGUCUUCGGAUUGUAAAGCACUUUAAGUUGGGAGGAAGGGCAGUAAGCUAAUACCUUGCUGUUUUGACGUUACCGACAGAAUAAGCACCGGCUAACUCUGUGCCAGCCCGCCGCGGUA